GGGCACUUGGUCUAGGGGUAUGAUUUUCGCUUCGCACAAUCCAAACGUGAGAAUGUGAAAGGUCGUGGGUUCAAUUCCCACAGUGUCCA